rnacentral:rRNA from 1 species
GUGGGGAAUCUUGCGCAAUGGGCGAAAGCCUGACGCAGCCAUGCCGCGUGAAUGAUGAAGGUCUUAGGAUUGUAAAAUUCUUUCACCGGGGACGAUAAUGACGGUACCCGGAGAAGAAGCUCCGGCUAACUUCGUGCCAGCAGCCGCGGUAAUACGAAGGGGGCUAGCGUUGCUCGUAAUUACUGGGCGUAAAGGGCGCGUAGGCGGACAGCUUAGUCAGAGGUGAAAGCCCAGGGCUCAACCUUGGAAUUGCCUUUGAUACUGGCUGUCUUGAGUACGGGAGAGGUGAGUGGAACUCCGAGUGUAGAGGUGAAAUUCGUAGAUAUUCGGAAGAACACCAGUGGCGAAGGCGACUCACUGGCCCGUUACUGACGCUGAGGCGCGAAAGCGUGGGGAGCAAACAGGAUUAGAAACCCCUGUAGUCC